GAUGAAGAACGCAGUGAAAUGCGAUAAGUAAUGUGAAUUGCAGAAUUCAGUGAAUCAUCGAAUCUUUGAACGCACCUUGCACCCUUUGGCAUUCCGAAGGGUAUGCUCGUUUGAGUGUCAUUGUACUCUCACUCUCCCGAUGCUUUUGGAUCGGGAGUGGUGGACUUGGGUGUUGCUGCUUUGCUGUGGCUCGCCUCAAAUGGAGUAGUGCAACUCUUGGUUGGACAUAGUACGGCGUGAUAAGUGUCUUCGCCGGCGCCUCAUUAUAGAGGGUGGCCGAUCGGGAGCUCUGUGCUUCAAACCGUCUUCGGACAACAUCUGACAACUUGACCUCAAAUCGAGUAGGACUACCCGCUGAACUUAAGCAUAUCAAUAAGCGGAGGA
rnacentral:misc_RNA from 1 species